UACGUAGGGUGCGAGCGUUAAUCGGAAUUACUGGGCGUAAAGCGUGCGCAGGCGGUUUUGUAAGCCAGAUGUGAAAGCCCCGGGCUUAACCUGGGAAUGGCAUUUGGGACUGCAAGGCUUGAGUGCGGCAGAGGAGACUGGAAUUCCCGGUGUAGCAGUGAAAUGCGUAGAUAUCGGGAGGAACACCGGUGGCGAAGGCGGUUCUCUGGGCCUGACCUGACGCUGAGGAGCGAAAGCGUGGGGAGCGAACAGG
rnacentral:rRNA from 1 species